AUUCAGAAGAAUACGAAAGAUGGAACUUCGGCUGCAUCAUCUUGUAUUGCUUAGUAUCCUUUUGUAUUGCAAAUGCCAAGGUGAUGAGGACAGUGAGACAAGUGAUGCAAGCGUGAAAGUGAUACACGUAAAAAAGUUACUGAAUGGGACUGACCCACUAAUUGUCCUUUUGGGAAAUGAGGGACAAAUAAAUCACCCCAUCUGCUGGUGGUCUGUGAAGACAAUUAAUCUCGAACGUGGAUUUCGACAUAAUUUAACAUACUUCAGGAAGGAUA